UACGUAGGGUCCGAGCGUUGUCCGGAAUUAUUGGGCGUAAAGGGCUCGUAGGCGGUUUGUCGCGUCGGGUGUGAAAACCAGAGGCUUAACUUCUGGCUUGCUUUCGAUACGGGCAGACUUGAGGCAUGCAGGGGAGAACGGAAUUCCUGGUGUAGCGGUGAAAUGCGCAGAUAUCAGGAGGAACACCGGUGGCGAAGGCGGUUCUCUGGGCAUGUUCUGACGCUGAGGAGCGAAAGUGUGGGGAGCGAACAGG
rnacentral:rRNA from 1 species